CGGUGAUUGGGCCGCGGAGGGCGGGGCGUUUGAACGGCGCGUGCGUGGGAGUUCCCCAGGCCGGCGUCAUUAGGAUCCUGGUGGGCGGUGGGACUUGGGUUCAAAGAAGACCAAGCAGGCAGACGUGUUCGGGGGCCCGCGGGUUCCGAGACUGGAGACUGGACCUUUGGCUGUCCCCACGUGCAUUCUAGGUCAACGGUGCGGUGGCAGAACCCUGGGGCUCUCCCCCGCGGAACUCGGCCCUGGCCGAGGCCCCAACCACGCUAGUAGGAGGAGGCCGAGCAUCCCUCCUCGAAAUCGCGAAAUCCCGGCCCGACAAUGUAGCCACGGAGUCGAAAGCCGCGUGCGAACUUGGCACUCACAAAGCCUAGAUAACCGUCUAUUUUCUCCUGUAAAAUAGGAGGGAUGGACCCCCACAGAUCAUUGUAAAAGGUUCUUACAAAGAAAAAUCCUCCUGGACUGGGCACGGUGGCUCACGCCUGUAAUCCCAGCACUUUGAGCGGAUCACACUUCGAGACCAACCUGACCAACAUGGAGAAACCCCGUCUCUACUAAAUUAGCCGGGCGUAGUGGCGCAUGCCUGUAAUCCCAGCUACUCUGGAGGCUGAGGCAGGAGAAUCGCUUUAACCCGGGAGGCAGAGGUUGUGGUGAGCCGAGAUCGCGCCAUUGCACUCCAGCCUGGGCAACAAGAGCGGAAUUCUGUCUCAAAAAAAAAAAAGAGAGAAAAGAAAAAUCCUGGAAGUCAAGUAAAAAUGUGUGAAGGUGUUUUAUAAAAUAUGAAAUAUCUAGAAUACACAAAUCUAUAGAAGGACUCGGGGAAAGGGGAGUGAAUGCUAAUAAAUACAGAGGUUCUUUCUGGGGUGAUGAAAAUGUACUAGUACUGAUUGUGGCCGCGCUAGCACAAAAAUCCGUUUCAUUGGCCAGACGCUAUGGCCCAGGGAAAAAAAGAAGGACUAGGGGGAAUGGGGAGUGAAUGCUAAUGAAUAUGCAGUUUCUUUUUGUGGUCAUGAAAGUGCACUAAAAUUUUCAUGCUAGCACAAAAAUUGAAUUGUACACUUCAAAUAGGUGUAUUUGUGAUGUGCAUUCUAGCUCCAUAAAACUCAAAAUGUGUGAAAAUUCUUUGUAACUUUACUAAAAAUUGGGGGCACUCUAUAGUUUACAAAACUAUCCCCAUCCAGGCAGGGCACGGUGGUUCACACCUGUAAUCCCAGCACUCUGGGAGUCUGAGGCGGGCGGAUCACCUGAGGUGAGGAGUUCAAGACCAG
rnacentral:lncRNA from 10 species